AUAAGGCUGCAAGGGCUUAUGAUCUUGCUGAUCUGAAAUACUGGGGCCCUGCUACUCACAUCAAUUUCCAUGUACAACAUGCUUUCUUUGGAGGGUACAAAGCUAUCAAGAUGAGCUCGAGGAGAUGAAAAGCAUGACAAGGCAAGAAUUUGUGGCACACUUGAGAAGAGAUGAACCGAUGCCCCACCGUCGGUCUAUCCGACGCUACACAGAAAAGUUGGAUAACGGUUCCUAACGGCUCUAUUCACUUGGUGGCCUAUAUAUAUGGGUUCCCCCGGUCAUUUGAAUUUUGCUGGAGUUCAAGGACAUCACACCCAUACCCAAGAACAUCUCCAAGCCAUCCAAGAGCUUAGUGUUCAUAUCUUUAGUCCUUAGCACAUUCUUGAGAGUGUUAGUGCUAGGUUAGCUCUUAGUGAGUGAGAAAGCAAGGCCUUGAGCCUUUGUGCCGUGGUUCUUUGUUGAACCAAGAAGAUAUCUUGGUGCGCUGGCCCCUUAGAGCUUGGUGGCUUGCCGGCACGUCAUUGACCCUCUGACUUGGUGUGGAGUGGCGACGACAACCUUGUGCGGGAGAUGUGGAGACCCCCAUCCUUUGUGGAGAAGCUCCUUAGUGGAACCCAGGAUCAAGGUGACCGAGGUUGAGUCCACGGAAGAGAGUUGAUUUCCGAGAAGCGAUACUCUUAGU